UACGUAGGGUGCGAGCGUUGCCCGGAUUUAUUGGGCGUAAAGAGCUCGUAGGCGGCUUGUCGCGUCGGCUGUGAAACCCGACGGCUCAACUGUGGGCGGGCAGCUGAUACGGGCAGGCUGGAGUUCGGUAGGGAGACUGGAAUUCCUGGUGUAGCGGUGAAAUGCGCAGAUAUCGGGAAGAACACCCGUGGCGAAGGCGGCUCUCUGGGCCGUAACUGACGCUGAGGAGCGAAAGCUAGGGGAGCAACGGG
rnacentral:rRNA from 1 species